rnacentral:siRNA from 1 species
GGGAGAGUUUCUUUUGAGCGGC